UACGUAGGUGGCAAGCGUUGUCCGGAAUUACUGGGCGUAAAGGGCGCGUAGGCGGCCUGCUAAGUCGAACGUGAAAUCCCCGGGCUCAACCCGGGAACUGCGUCCGAUACUGGCUGGCUUGAAUCCGGGAGAGGGAUGCAGAAUUCCAGGUGUAGCGGUGAAAUGCGUAGAUAUCUGGAGGAAUACCGGUGGCGAAGGCGGCGUCCUGGACCGGCAUUGACGCUGAGGAGCGAAAGCCAGGGGAGCAAACGGG
rnacentral:rRNA from 1 species